AGUGAACGCUGGCGGUAGGCCUAACACAUGCAAGUCGAACGGCAGCACAGUAAGAGCUUGCUCUUACGGGUGGCGAGUGGCGGACGGGUGAGGAAUACAUCGGAAUCUACUUUUUCGUGGGGGAUAACGUAGGGAAACUUACGCUAAUACCGCAUACGACCUACGGGUGAAAGCAGGGGAUCUUCGGACCUUGCGCGAUUGAAUGAGCCGAUGUCGGAUUAGCUAGUUGGCGGGGUAAAGGCCCACCAAGGCGACGAUCCGUAGCUGGUCUGAGAGGAUGAUCAGCCACACUGGAACUGAGACACGGUCCAGACUCCUACGGGAGGCCGCAGUGGGGAAUAUUGGACAAUGGGCGCAAGCCUGAUCCAGCCAUACCGCGUGGGUGAAGAAGGCCUUCGGGUUGUAAAGCCCUUUUGUUGGGAAAGAAAAGCAGCAGGUUAAUACCCCGCUGUUCUGACGGUACCCAAAGAAUAAGCGCCGGCUAACUUCGUG
rnacentral:rRNA from 1 species